rnacentral:rRNA from 1 species
ACGUGGGUGAUCUGCCCUGCACUUUGGGAUAAGCCUGGGAAACUGGGUCUAAUACCGAAUAGGACCGCAUGCUUCAUGGUGUGUGGUGGAAAGCUUUUGCGGUGUGGGAUGGGCCCGCGGCCUAUCAGCUUGUUGGUGGGGUAAUGGCCUACCAAGGCGACGACGGGUAGCCGGCCUGAGAGGGUGUCCGGCCACACUGGGACUGAGAUACGGCCCAGACUCCUACGGGAGGCAGCAGUGGGGAAUAUUGCACAAUGGGCGCAAGCCUGAUGCAGCGACGCCGCGUGGGGGAUGACGGCCUUCGGGUUGUAAACCUCUUUCAGUAUCGGCGAAGCUCCAGGAUUUUUCUUGGGGUGACGGUAGGUACAGAAGAAGCACCGGCCAACUACGUGCCAGCAGCCGCGGUAAUACGUAGGGUGCGAGCGUUGUCCGGAAUUACUGGGCGUAAAGAGCUCGUAGGUGGUUUGUCACGUUGUCCGUGAAAACUCACAGCUUAACUGUGGGCGUGCGGGCGAUACGGGCAGACUGGAGUACUGUAGGGGAGACUGGAAUUCCUGGUGUAGCGGUGGAAUGCGCAGAUAUCAGGAGGAACACCGGUGGCGAAGGCGGGUCUCUGGGCAGUAACUGACGCUGAGGAGCGAAAGCGUGGGGAGCGAACAGGAUUAGAUACCCUGGUAGUCCACGCCGUAAACGGUGGGUACUAGGUGUGGGUUUCC